CUUUCCUGUGUGCUGCUAUUCCUUUGACUGUAUGCAACAGGAACAAAAUUUUAUAAGUCAGUGUGCAAUAGUUUAAUUUUUCUUACAGGUAGGAUCAAAUUCAGGAAAAAGAUGUGCUCCAAGGUCCAGCUCUGGUUUGUCUCAGCUGCACAACCUUGCUUACACUACUGAGGAAGACUGAAGAGAAAUUCUGUUGAAAGAGUGAAAACUAACCUCCAGAAUUCAGCGGGAAAUGACUGCUCAAAUGCUUUGGUGAAUCAUUCUAAGCCUCAUUCAAACAGGGAUGCAGCUAAAUGAAUGUACAUAUUCAAAGCCUGUUUAGAAAUCCCUGACAUACUGGUAAAUGAAAAUGACUGUCUCAUUCUCUUUCGUGAAUGAAAUUAUUCAGAAUAGCUGAGGGAAAAUGCCAUUAUGUGAAUCAAUUCAACA